rnacentral:tRNA from 1 species
GCUUUUAAAGGAAAACAGCUCAUCCAUUGGUCUUAGGAACCAAAAACUCUUGGUGCAAAUCCAAGUAAAAGCU